CCUACGGGAGGCAGCAGUAGGGAAUCUUCCACAAUGGGCGCAAGCCUGAUGGAGCAACACCGCGUGAGUGAAGAAGGGUUUCGGCUCGUAAAGCUCUGUUGUUGGAGAAGAACGUACGUGAGAGUAACUAUUCACGCAGUGACGGUAUCCAACCAGAAAGCCACGGCUAACUACGUGCCAGCAGCCGCGGUAAUACGUAGGUGGCAAGCGUUAUCCGGAUUUAUUGGGCGUAAGGCGAGCGCAGGCGGUUGUUUAGGUCUGAUGUGAAAGCCUUCGGCUUAACCGAAGAAGUGCAUCGGAAACCGGGCAACUUGAGUGCAGAAGAGGACAGUGGAACUCCAUGUGUAGCGGUGGAAUGCGUAGAUAUAUGGAAGAACACCAGUGGCGAAGGCGGCUGUCUGGUCUGCAACUGACGCUGAGGCUCGAAAGCAUGGGUAGCGAACAGGAUUAGAUACCCCAGUAGUC
rnacentral:rRNA from 1 species